rnacentral:rRNA from 1 species
UACGUAGGGUGCAAGCGUUGUCCGGAAUUAUUGGGCGUAAAGAGCUCGUAGGCGGCUUGUCACGUCGAUUGUGAAAGCCCCCGGCUCAACUGGGGAGGGUCACGCGAUACUGAUCGACUCGAAGGCAGGAGAGGGUAGUGGAAUUCCCGGUGUAGUGGUGAAAUGCGUAGAUAUCGGGAGGAACACCAGUGGCGAAGGCGACUACCUGGCCUGUUCUUGACGCUGAGGCGCGAAAGCUAGGGGAGCAAACGGG